AGAGUUUGAUCCUGGCUUAGGACGAACGCUGGCGGCGUGCUUAACACAUGCAAGUCGAACGGUCGUAGCAAUACGAUAGUGGCGGACGGGUGAGUAACACGUGAGCAAUCUGCCUUUUACAGGGGGAUAACACUGAGAAAUCAGUGCUAAUACCGCAUAAGACCACAGUGCCGCAUGGUACAGGGGUAAAAGGGAUACCGGUAAAAGAUGAGCUCGCGUCCCAUUAGGUAGUUGGAGGGGUAACGGCCCACCAAGCCGACGAUGGGUAGCCGACCUGAGAGGGUGAUCGGCCACACUGGAACUGAGAUACGGUCCAGACUCCUACGGGAGGCAGCAGGUGGGGAAUAUUGGGCAAUGGAGGAAACUCUGAACCCCAGCAACGCCGCGUGAAUGAAGAAGGUCUUCGGAUUGUAAAGUUCUGUGGAUAGGGAAGAAAAAAUGACGGUACCUAUAGAGCAAGCCACGGCAAACUACGUGCCAGCCGCCGC
rnacentral:rRNA from 1 species